AGUAAAUUGAUUCUUAUUCCCAUUCCCCAUUCUCAUUUAUUUUUACAAAAUAAACAUUGAAAUCUCAUUCCCAUUCAUCAUUCUCAUUUCAGCUUAUUCGCAUUCCCAAUCUAUUCCCAUUCCACCUCAUUCCUAUUCUAUAAAAUAAACGCAUCAUAAGUGAAUAACAACUUUAUUAUUGAUGGCUAGAUGAUUGUAACUAUAAACCAAUCAUUCUCCAAAUCCUAACAACUUGCUCUUCUCCUUCUUAAACAGACUCUCAAUAAACUUAUUUUUCAAUAUACAUUUAUACUUAUACACACACACACUCUAGACCAUUAGGAUAUGAAAUAAAUGAUUAUUUGAAUAGACUUCUCUCUUGCUGUGUGUGGACACAAAACAUUAUUAUUCUUUUUAAUUUAGGCAGUUAAACAUUUAUCACCAAUUAUUUGUUUUUUGAAUUUAAUGCAACAAACAAAACCUUGAACAAUAUCAAAACGUACGACAAAGCCAUCAUUAAAAGUUAAAACUUUGAUAUGAUGGGCCACUCUUUGGGAUGGAGCCUUUUCAUUGCACAAAGUCUACCCAACCAUUUUGGGCCCAAUAGGCCAUAGUUGGGCCAUCCCCUUCAAAGCAUCCGACCAAAUCCUAGAGAGCACCUACACUCCACCGUCCGGCCGUCCCUAAAAUCUUUGACACUACGGGUGCGUUUGGGAUUGAGGUUGGGCAGCUGUAGCUUAAAAGCUACAGCACUAAAGUGUUUGGUAAACACUAACUGCUGUAGCUUUUAAGCUAUGUUGAUAUGAUUUUUCACUUGUAUAAUAUAAAAUUUAUUAUAUCUUUAAUAAUUUUAUCAAAAUUAUUAUUUAAAAUUUAUAUUUACUAUAUAUUAUUAACUUUUGUUUCAUAAUUACAACUUUUUUUUCACAGCAGCUGUAGCUUAAAAGCUACAGCACCUCAAUCCCAAACGCACCCUACGUGCGCUAAGACUUGGCAAAACUCAAGUCUCCAAAUGCAUUGGACAUAAUUUUUAUUCAACUAGUCAUAUAAUAAAUUGUUCAACUAAUCAUAUGUUAAGUAAUUUGUAUAUUUACCAUUAUUCAUUAAUAAUAUGUCUUCUACAAUUAAACUUUUGACCUCUUGCUUAUUGUUAAAGGCCAAACUAAUUAUACUACCGUUUGAAAUUAAUCAAAUUUGAAUAUUAUUAAUAUUAAAUUACAUAUU
rnacentral:lncRNA from 1 species